rnacentral:lncRNA from 1 species
GGAGGCAACUGCCCAAGGCCACUCUGAGGAGGGUUGAAUGUUCUUUAUUAAAAGGACUGAGGAUCAUGUGUGUUGGUGGGCCUUGGACUCUGCUCUAAGACACAUGGAGGCAACCACUCAAGGCCACUCUGAGAAGGGUUGAACGUGCUUUAAAUUAAAAGGACUGAGGAUCAUGUGUGUUGGUGUGUCUUGGACUCUGCUCUAAGACUCAUGGAGGCAACCACUCAAGGUCACUCUGAGAAGGGUUGAACGUGCUUUAUUAAAAGGACUGAGGAUCAUGUGUGUUGGUGUGUCCCGGAGUCUGCUCUAAGACUCAUGGAGGCAACCACUCAAGGCCACUCUGAGAAGGGUUGAACGUGCUUUAAAUUAAAAGGACUGAGGAUCAUGUGUGUUGGUGUGUCCUGGACUCUGCUCUAAGGCCCUGUGGCUGCCUGGUGCCCUGGGAAUGGUCCGGUCAUGGGCCUCAGCCCAGGAUGAGCAGCCAACAAUGCAAUCCCACGAAGAGUGUGCGGAAGGGAGAGGUUACUUCUCAAGAUGGAGCUGCCAAAUAGGGACACUUUGGAGAGUCUGGCCUGAGAACUUUUAGUUUCAAGAAUGUAUUGCUUUGGAAAAGACAGAAUAAAAGUCCAAGCACUGCCA